rnacentral:rRNA from 1 species
GUACGGGAGGCAGCAGCUAAGAAUCUUCCGCAAUGGGCGAAAGCCUGACGGAGCGACGCCGCGUGGACGAUGAAGGCAGAGAUGUUGUAAAGUCCUUUUCGUAGUGAAGAAUAAGGGUAGGAGGAAAUGCCUGCCUGAUGACGUUAACUACGGAAUAAGCCCCGGCCAAUUACGUGCCAGCAGCCGCGGUAACACGUAAGGGGCUAGCGUUGUUCGGAAUCAUUGGGCGUAAAGGGCGCGUAGGCGGUUAGAUAAGCCUGGUGUGAAAUUCCACUGCUUAACGGUGGGGACGCGCUAGGAACUGUCCAACUAGAGUCGAGGAGGGGAAAUCGGAAUUCCUGGUGUAGGGGUGAAAUCUGUUGAUAUCAGGAAGAACACCGGUGGCGAAGGCGGAUUUCUGGCCAUCGACUGACGCUGAGGCGCGAAAGCGUAGGGAGCAAACAGGAUUAGAUACCCCGGUAGC